AACUCUGUACACAACAUACAAUCGGUAUGAGUGUGACAAGGAGAGCAAUUCAUAGUAUCCCAUUAGUUGGACAGGGAUAAAAAGAGUCAAGAGUAGCUGCUAUAGGGAAAUACAGUGGUACGACUAUACGCCAUGCUAAAUCCCAUGGAGAACCAAUAAAACCGGUAGCCGCGCCAUCAAUUCAGCCUUCGGACUUGCGAUUUCUAUCGCGCUUAAUCGGCAAGUGAUCGCAUGCAAAUAUAUCCCAACGCCCAGCGUGUGCAAAGAUUUCUUCACUCGAGCCGCUGUUUAUCCUAUAUCUAUAUCUGGUGCGUCCAGAGGUAAGCUGCAUCGAAGGCAGCAGGAUUCGGCUUGAAAACGUAAAACGUGCCCUCUGAGGGACUUUUUGGCACGAAAAUACAGGGCGAUACCAGAUCCUAUUAUAAGAUGGCGCGCGUGCGUCUUCGGUACCUUUCUUCCUUUCUUUCUCUCGAUCGGACUUUUAACGAAGAUAAAAUCGCCAUUCUUAAGCUGUCUACGGAUAUUCUCUCUUCCUUAACCACGAUCUCAAUACUCUCGACUUUCGCAGCUACAUGUCAGAGCCGUAUAGAUAGACUGAUACGAAAGAAGAAACGUCAGUUCGAUCGAAAUUGUUGAAAGGUUCAGAUCCAAUUCACAGUGAAAUAUUAAAGUCCAAUCAGCAAUGAUAUACAAGAUCUCAAAGAUGGCGAUGACCAUCGUCGUGGGCGUUUUGAUGAUGAUGAUGAUGGUCCCUAUAAGCGAUAGAAACUACCGGGUGCCAGUCAAACUAUAAUGAUGUAACACUUAUCGAUCAGAUGUAAAUAAAUGUAUGAAUAUUGUA